AUUGAACGCUGGCGGCAGGCCUAACACAUGCAAGUCGAGCGGAUGAAGGGAGCUUGCUCCUGGAUUCAGCGGCGGACGGGUGAGUAAUGCCUAGGAAUCUGCCUGGUAGUGGGGGAUAACGUCCGGAGACGGGCGCUAAUACCGCAUACGUCCUGAGGGAGAAAGUGGGGGAUCUUCGGACCUCACGCUAUCAGAUGAGCCUAGGUCGGAUUAGCUAGUUGGUGGGGUAAAGGCCUACCAAGGCGACGAUCCGUAACUGGUCUGAGAGGAUGAUCAGUCACACUGGAACUGAGACACGGUCCAGACUCCUACGGGAGGCAGCAGUGGGGAAUAUUGGACAAUGGGCGAAAGCCUGAUCCAGCCAUGCCGCGUGUGUGAAGAAGGUCUUCGGAUUGUAAAGCACUUUAAGUUGGGAGGAAGGGCAGUAGGUUAAUACCUUGCUGUUUUGACGUUACCAACAGAAUAAGCACCGGCUAACUUCGUG
rnacentral:rRNA from 1 species